AUUGAACGCUGGCGGCAUGCCUUACACAUGCAAGUCGAACGGUAACAGGUCUUCGGAUGCUGACGAGUGGCGAACGGGUGAGUAAUACAUCGGAACGUGCCUAGUAGUGGGGGAUAACUACUCGAAAGAGUGGCUAAUACCGCAUGAGAUCUACGGAUGAAAGCAGGGGAUCGCAAGACCUUGUGCUACUAGAGCGGCCGAUGGCAGAUUAGGUAGUUGGUGGGAUAAAAGCUUACCAAGCCGACGAUCUGUAGCUGGUCUGAGAGGACGAUCAGCCACACUGGGAAUGAGACACGGCCCAGACUCCUACGGGAGGCAGCAGUGGGGAAUUUUGGACAAUGGGCGCAAGCCUGAUCCAGCAAUGCCGCGUGCAGGAUGAAGGCCUUCGGGUUGUAAACUGCUUUUGUACGGAACGAAAAGCCCUGGGUUAAUACCCUGGGGUCAUGACGGUACCGUAAGAAUAAGCACCGGCUAACUACGUGCCAGCCACCGCGGUAACAC
rnacentral:rRNA from 1 species